rnacentral:rRNA from 1 species
CAGCAGUGGGGAAUAUUGCACAAUGGGCGCAAGCCUGAUGCAGCCAUGCCGCGUGUAUGAAGAAGGCCUUCGGGUUGUAAAGUACUUUCAGCGGGGAGGAAGGCGAUAAGGUUAAUAACCUUGUCGAUUGACGUUACCCGCAGAAGAAGCACCGGCUAACUCCGUGCCAGCAGCCGCGGUAAUACGGAGGGUGCAAGCGUUAAUCGGAAUUACUGGGCGUAAAGCGCACGCAGGCGGUCUGUCAAGUCGGAUGUGAAAUCCCCGGGCUCAACCUGGGAACUGCAUUCGAAACUGGCAGGCUAGAGUCUUGUAGAGGGGGGUAGAAUUCCAGGUGUAGCGGUGAAAUGCGUAGAGAUCUGGAGGAAUACCGGUGGCGAAGGCGGCCCCCUGGACAAAGACUGACGCUCAGGUGCGAAAGCGUGGGGA